GGCAGGGGUUCGUGUGAGAAGGGCUGUUCUCUCGCACACCUCUCUUUCUGCUUUUCCCCUUGUCUUGCGAGCGACGUGGAAACGGUCUCUCCUCUUCUUUCUUCCUCCCUGCUGUUUUUUUUUUUUUGCGGUCGUCGUACAGUACAGUCAUACUUUUUUACCCCAUCCGGAGUCUCCUGCGACGUCCCACAAAAAGCUCUCGCUCAGGAACAAAGUCACAGACGACCCUUCAUCGGGAAAAAUAUUUUGGUAAUCACCUGCAAUUCUGAAGCAAUAACACCACAAACAGCAUCACAUUAUGAAGAAAAAGAGCCUUGUGGAUAGCAGCCGAACCCUGGGACAUCCAGCUGUAAUUACGGCUGCCUGACACUAACCACAGCAGUGCAUCACUUUUUGAUUUCUCAGCCCUUUAACUGAUCCGACAUCUCAAUUAUGAGACUCUCCGCCGGGUCUGUUUCACACUGCCCCGCUGUCUCGGCCAACUGCCAGGCCAAAACAUUUCAAUCACUGCCAUUAAUUAGGCCAAAGAGGAAUUCAGAAUGUUAAUGUCCUGCCCCAGUGUCUUUCAAUUCCUCGGUUCACAUGCUAAUUUAUGCAAAGACACGGUGCCGCCGUCCCGCCCCUUUGCCAUGGCAGUCCAUUCUUUUGGCCCGCCUGGGUGACCCCCGUCUGCCAGACAUCUACCACAGCACCAUCAUGCUGGGACGCCAUCAUCUGUGUAUUAGAACAAUGCAAACAUUUAUAUAUAUAUAUAUAUAUAUAUAUAUAUAUAUACACAUAUGGGCUCCUAAAUAUGGGCUACUAAUUACUAAUGACCCUGAAUGAGUUUAUUUUGUGAUAAUGACUACCUGCCUGUAAAUUGUUAAGGCCAGUUAUACAGUAAAUUGUAACUGUGUUAUGUCUUAUAUAUAAGGGGAGACAAAAACAAAACACUGUUUUUUUAAGCACCUGUCAAGUUUGAGAUUUUGAGCUUUUUUGUUAAUAAAGUGUUUUUUUCAGACUAGUUGAAAGAAAACAUCCAAAAGACACUGUUAGUGUUAAGUGUUCCUUUUAUAGCACUUUAGCUAUUUGUGUCAAUAGAUUUCAAUUACAAUACGGAAACCCGUUGCCUUAAAAUGAUUAAGUAAAUAAUAAUUUAAAAAAAAUAAGUUAAGUGAAUUGUCAAGUUAUUAUUAUUUACUUAAUCAUUUUAAGGCAACCUCAAUUUUUUUAAGUUAAGUCAACUUAUCACUUUUUACAGUAUUUUUAAAGGCCCUUUUCUCAAAAUGAGUUUUUUUCCACACACAAAACUUUACAUUUUUAUUCCUGUCUAUAUCCUGAAGGUUUUUACAGAGGGAUUUGUUCAUAUGUAAUUUGCUUGAUUAUAUAUAACAUUUGAUCCCCCCCAAAAUUAUGAAAAUAUAUUGUUUUCUGUCUGUUCUAAGCGUUUUCUGAAUUAUGGAGUGACAAAAAUGAGAUACCGAAAAGUCCUUCAGGAAUCCUUCAGAAAUCAUUCUAUUAUGCUGAUUUGUAAAAGAACAUAAAUUUUGUUAUUCAGCGAGGAUGUAUUAAAUUGAUCAAAAGUGACAGUAAAGAUAUUUAGAAUGUUAUGAAAGAUUUAUACAUUUUUAAAAAAUGUGCUUCCUUUGAACUUUCUAUUCAUCAAAGAAUCAGGAAAAAAUGUAUUACGGUUUUAAGAAUAAUAUUAAGCAGGAAAAACAUAAAAGUUAUAUUAUUAUGAUUAUUAUUAUUAUUAAUAAUAAUAAUUCUUUUUUAAUCAUAUCUUUAGUCAUGAUUUAGGUCCUUUAAACGUAUCAUGGUUUGACUAUAAAAAGUCUCUAGAAAGUACCACGUGUGACCAUAGUCGUAAUGAAAUCAUACAAAUAAAUUAGAAAUCAAACAGUACCAUGGUAUUACUGUCACUGAAACAUUUUGUUAGGGUUAUAAAGGAUUCGAUUUUAGUGAUAUGUUCACAGUUACUGUGCAAUCGUUCACCUUUCUUGAAAUAAGUAGCCUACAAGCAAGUUUCAUCUUCUCACACGUUCUCGACUUGUAACUGCACACUCGUUUAAGAUGGCAGGAAGGCGGCCAUUUUGUUUGUCCUUUUCCCUCUCUUUCAUGCUUUGCUAGCAGACAACAUGUAGCGUUAUUUAAAGGCAGACAGCUGGGAAAGCUGCGUUCAAAUGCAGCGAUUUACUUCAGGCAAUUAAACGGCAUGCAACACCACAGGCGUGUGAAGGGUGCAAAGAGAAAACGGGCACUAUUUCCUCGUGCGGCUCACCUCUGCUUCAUGCCAGGAGUUCUGCGAGCCAGACAGUCACUCCUGCAGGUUGAACAAAUUAGCCGACUUGUCGUUGUUAAUUAUUUCGCUAAUCUUUUAAAAGGAAAUCAGGAAGACACAAAGGAGAUAAUACUGAAAUAGAACCAACGACUUCCAAAUUUCCUUCAGCACUUUGAAGGUCAUUGUGAACGACAAGAAACAUGGAGA